UAAGAAAAUAAAAAGUUAUAAUUAUUUUAACUACCAGAGAAAGUAAGGCCUUGGCUUAGAUGGUGGCAGAAAAGCUGACAGUUAAUGGAAAACACUGAAAAAAAUCAGUCACAUCAAGGAACUAGUUUUAAAUGGCGAUUGGGUGGCAACAAUAGCUACUGUGGAGGUCUGAUCUUAAAUGUAAAAAUUAGUAAAAAGUAUCUAUUUCCCUCCAGGCAGAAAGGCUGCUGUGCUAAACUGCCAUUUGGGUUUGUGCAGACACUGAAGCUGCUGUGCUGACUGCAUGUGGUGUUCUGCUAGCUCUAAAGCUCCAGGUUAAUGGUACAGCUGAUCCAAGCAAGGUGACCGGGAAUGUGAAGAUGCUGCCUGAUGUGCUGCGCUUUUCCAUCAUUUGUUUUGACUUUUGGUUUAAUACAUGCAGCCUCUAUGAAGUUUAUAAGAAGUUUAAACAAUCGAUAUGUAAAUCAUACACAGAUGCAAAUAAGAUCAAGUUAUCUGGACACUAAGAACUGGAUUGCCAAGACUCUAUCUGGACCUCAAGCUGAACAUCUAAAAUCUACAGUAUGUGAUCAAUAUUCUGGAGAAACUUAUAUUUCAUCAAAUGUUGCAAAGAAAUAUCAUUGGUGAGGCCGCUGUAAAUGGUUGGAUCUAGUACCAAUGUACACCAGAAGUGAUGCCCUGGGACUGAGAUGAUGGUGCUGCAAAUGCAUGUAAAUAUAGUCUUGUACGUGUAAGAGAUGUCUUUGGUUUGUUGGACAGAGUCGAACUCCAAUGUUUUUGUUUC